rnacentral:lncRNA from 1 species
GUAGGCAGGAGAGCACCAGUUUUUAAUAGAGAGUGCAGCUAUUUCCAUGCUGUUCUGACCACCAGCUCCGGACGCACGUGCCAUGAAAUGGAUUUUGGUGGAUGAACAGGCUUCAGUGUGCUGUCCACCCUGGAUCAUGUGGCCUUGCAUUGUUUGGAGGAUUAGUCUUGGUUUUCCAGCUAAACCACAUACCUCUGAAGAGCAGGGACCAGAGAAUAUUCUCCUGGACGCCUGACCCAAACACCUACUGUUUUGAUGUAAACAAACUUUUCUCUCUUGUGUUCACAUCUAGUCUCAGUGUCUUGUGUGUUCUUGUCCUUGAAGGAUUAACUAAACUCGACCUAGCUUUUAUUGUCCUAGUAAAUAGUUCAAAAUUCCCUG